rnacentral:lncRNA from 1 species
ACUUGGACCUAGCAGCAUCAAUGAGCCAGCUCCUCACUGGGGAACAUGCAAACCCCCAGCUGCUGGUGUGCAGGAAAAGAAUCCAGGAGAUCACCUGAUGAAGCCCAGCAUUUUACAGAGCAAAGUGGUGAAAGGACCCUGGUGAGAGGCCCAAAGAACAGGAGGUGUGAGCCAAGAGAAGGUCCUGCCAGGCCUAUGUUGCAGGCUAUUUGGAGGCUGAACUUGAGGAAGACAGAUGUCAGCUUUCUGAAGAAAGUGUCAAGCAUUUGUCCCUUACAAGGACUGGGAAGAAAGAGCAUACAUUUUCCCCGUUGCCUGCCCUUGACAUAUUUAUAACAUCCCAGGACUGGCACUGACCAUCCUCUCCCAAGUAACGGAAUGUCAAGAUGACUGCAGAGAUUAUGCUGUGAGUAGAAAAGCUUUAUAGUAAGCCGAGGUGAUCACCAGCCUCCCUGAGCUAAAAUAAUCACAGACUUUUUUUCUUAGUGACCCCUGUCCUACUCUCAGGCACCUUAUAUCCUCAAAUCUUAAAUAGAGUUAAGAGAUUGGGCA